rnacentral:rRNA from 1 species
GAUGAACGCUGGCGGCGUGCCUAAUACAUGCAAGUCGAGCGAACAGACGAGAGUGCUUGCACUCUCUGACGUUAGCGGCGGACGGGUGAGUAACACGUGUGUAACCUACCUAUAAGACUGGGAUAACUUCGGGAAACCGGCGCUAAUACCGGAUAAUAUUUAGCUUCGCAUGAAGCAAUAGUGAAAGACGGUUCUGCUGUCACUUAUAGAUGGACCCGCGGUGUAUUAGCUAGUUGGUGAGGUAACGGCUCACCAAGGCAACGAUACAUAGCCGACCUGAGAGGGUGAUCGGCCAGACUGGGACUGAGACACGGCCCAGACUCCUACGGGAGGCAGCAGUAGGGAAUCUUCCGCAAUGGACGAAAGUCUGACGGAGCAAUGCCGCGUGAGUGAAGAAGGUGUUCGGAUCGUAAAACUCUGUUGUAAGGGAAGAACAAGUACGUUAGUAACUGAACGUACCUUGACGGUACCUUACCAGAAAGCCACGGCUAACUACGUG